GAAGGGUGCUGUUGUUAGCUUGUGCUUUGCCAACAGCUUGCCGUAAGCUCCCUCAAUCACAAGAAAGUUAGCAAAACAGGGUCAAAGUUCAACUACAAGAAGUGUAAAUAUAGGAGUUGUAAGAACUAAUCAAAUUCUGUGACAUUAUCGCUAUUGUACCAAAUAUUAUUCAAAAUAAGAGGCAUGUUCGUCUGGUCUUGAAAACAGGUUUUGCUACAGAGACUCUCAUACUCCUCAUAAGAAAUGCUUUAUGUGCAUGAAGUCUGUACAGCUUCGUUUUUCUGCAAGCACAAAACAAAAGAUAAGAAUGCAGUGGACAAAAGAGAAAAGUAGUUCGGAUUUACUUAUGAUUCAGUCAGAAGUUUCCAACUGUGACUUUUUCCAUAAGAAAUGGAAAUGUAAGCAACUGGCAAAGCUUUUUAAAAGUCUGACCUGAAAAUUAAUUGCAUUAAAAAGAUGUCAGUGGUAAGGCAUGCUCAAAGUUCAGCUUUUAUCAGUAAACAGAUUAACAACCAACAGAUUAAAAAAAACCAAACAAACCUAUAGUAUAAUUCUGUGGUCUUCCUGCCUUUUGCCCAGCUUAAUGAGACAUAGAUCCUACUGAGUGGACAAAAAAACGGCCUGAUACUUGCUGUUUCUAGGCUAAAUUUCUGAAGAAGGAAGUAGAUUAGUCAACUGUGUCAUCUAUGAGUGGCAGGACUAUGACACCAGUAUAACUGAUACUUUGUAUGCCUCAUCAAAUGACAGUGUGCAUGGCGUCAUUUAAUAAUUUUAGGAGAUAGGAUGUUUUUACAUUAUCUUUUUGGCACACUUUUGUUGUUUUCCAUUGACUGAUAACUUCAAAAUGGUUGCUCAGAAUGAAAGAAUAACAAAAUAUUUUAUGAAAAUGAAUUCAGUUCUCUAUUGUAGACUGCAAACUAGUAGAGUUUGUAUCAGUGGUUCUCCGCCAAGGGUGAUUUUGCCACCCAGGGAACAUUUUACAUCUUUAGGAGAUAUUUUUGAUUUUCAUGACUGAGCUGGGAGUCGUGAGAGGUCCGGGAUGAUGGUGAACAUGGUACAAUGCAUAGGAUGGCCUCCCACAACAAAAAAUUAUCCAGCUCCUGUGUCUACGGGGCCAAGAUGGAGAGAUUCUAUUUUGCAUGAAUGAUCAGAAACAACUUACCUAACAUGUACAUGACAUGAUCCAGAAGUAUUUUUGUUCUUUUCACAUUACCAAUUUUACAUUACAGUGUUUUUCUACAUAUUUUCAGAGUUUCGUUAUCAAACACAGAAAACAAUUAGUCAUAUUAUACUCACCUUGAGCCUGGAGGACAAAAGUAUAUUUUGAAACACACGGGAAAGAUGUAUUUCCUCUUCUGUUUGUGUGUCAGUAUCAAUUUGCUUUUUCCCACUCAUUCAUAAACCUUAGCAUAGAGGCCAUCUUCAAACCUGAGAAUAAGUUUAAUGCAAAUUUCUGGAAAAAAAAAGUUUUAUUUUACAUUGAAGUUAUAAGCACUGUCAACAUUAUUAUAACCCACAUUAUACUGAGCUAUUAAAUAGUAACACCUCUAGGUUUUCUUCAUCUUGUUAAAAUAUAAGAGUAGGGUGAGGUAUAAAAUAUUUACACAGGGGAAAUCUGUAUUCAUUUUGGAUUACGAUUAUGAAAAUUCUCUUUCUAUCCACUGCUCCCACUGUGACAUAGGGCAGGAAAAAGGACAUGUGGAGAAGACUGGAAAAAAUAAUGGAUGCAGUUCACUCAGCUUAGAGAAAAGAUGUGGUGCUGCAUUACUUAGCCAGCAGAACAUAUUGCCAGGAAACCAAUUUCAAAGAAAUCAGCUGCACAAGAUGUUGCAGUUUUAUCUGACAGAUUUUCCACUCAGACCUGGAAUCAAUCAGUUUCCCAAGGAGGAAAAUAUAGUUCAGAGACCAGAAUCAGGGACCCAGAGGUGGUCAUUGCUACUGGUGUGUCUCAGCUUCUGGAACUUUUCAGUGGACAGGCAUGGGGACAAAAUUCCUUUGCCCCAGGAUUUGCUGAGUUUGCACAGCUAAUUACUGACAGAGCAACAAGAAACCAUGACAGAGCAAGGCCUGAAACCAGAGCCUUCUGCAUUUUCUCAUCUGUGAUGACGUACAUUGAUGCUGGACGUUCAUGAGCCUGAAGAUAUAAAGAAGUAUUUACCAUUGGAAAAUGUGCUCUACACUAAAACAGAGACAAAAAAAUAAAGGCAAACAGAAUAUAAUAUGCGGAGCUGUAAAGCAUUGAGUUUUCUGUAAAUUUAUGUACAAAGUAAUAAAAA